GGGGAUAUGGCGGAAUUGGUAGACGCUACAGACUUAAAAAUUUAAGAAAAUUUGUUGGUUCUUUGAACCGUGAGGGUUCAAGUCCCUCUAUCCCCA
rnacentral:tRNA from 1 species